GUUAGUAGGGAAGGUGGACAUCCUUCUUCGAGAAAAUUUGAGAAAGGAUGAAGACAAAAUCUAUAAUUUUUUUUCAACCUUUCUUUUUUUAGUAAAAGAAACAUGAAAUUUACUUAAACUUUAAGCUUAUAUACAAUGAAAGGGAGAGGUUGCUUUUACAAAGGAUUGCUUCAUGGGUUGCUUAGGAUGGAUGAAAUAUGGAGAGGUGCUUGAGAGAAUGAAAUGAAAAGGUUGGAAUAUAAAAGAGUUCCUCGUUGGGUAGGGUGCCUUGCCCUAGAAGAAUAUGUCGGUGGUUGCAGGUCUUAAAUGGUUUACUGCUUGGUAUUUGAGUAUGAGUUGUGAUUUGAAUGUGGAAUAUUGGUUAACGUACCAUGAUUAUUGAAUAUGAAUUGUAAGCAUGAGUGGCGUGUUGUUUUAUAUACCCUAUAUUUGUAUUCAUACUUGCAUUUGCAUAGUAAUCUUUCUUAACGUUCUAAAUUUUCAUA